CGUGCACGCAAGCUGAGGAGGCCAGUCUGCAUAGGCCGAGGAGGUCCGCCUGCGCCUGCCAUCGACACUGCCGGGGGGUGGCCUGCUCUGCUCUGCUCACCUCCCCCAGCAGUGAAGAGUGGGAAAUAGUGGUGUAACUCUUGGGAGGGUAUUUGAAGGCUAAACACACAGAGCACUAGCAUGAUCAGAAUUCCCCAUUCAUUUCAGUGGAGAAAGCAAUUCCAUUUGCACAUGCCUAUGGAAGCAUCAAGCUGCCUUCUCCAUUAAAUUGAGUAGGAAAGAAGCCCUUACAGAUUAAUGAAAUUAUACAUCAGGGAAAAUAAUAAGGGUCAAAAAACAAAAUUAUCAAAUAUCAUAAGGUACUAGCACAGAACAGUAAAACAAAGCUGCAGUAUGUACAGCUGCAAUUCAUGGAAGAAAUCAGCCAAGCAUCUGGAAAGUGUGGAGACGGAGGCAGUAAGAUCAAAGCAAUUUGGCAUUUUCUGUAACACAAGAAGACCAGGCAUCAACCACUGAACACCACAGCCCAUCACAAGCUCUUUACAUAUCGCCAAUUAAAAUUCAUUAUUCAGUACAAAAUCUAAGCCAGAUAUCUGCCAUUUAAAAUGAGACAACAUAAUGUCAGCAAAAAGGAAUAAAAAGGUACUAAAGUAAAGAGAGUGUUCUAUUGAAAUUCACACAAUUGUGUGUGUGUUUUUUUUUUACUGUGUUUAAAUUAUGUAUUAGACUUCAACUAGGAGAAAUUAAAAAGCA